rnacentral:ribozyme from 1 species
UGCCCAGCAACUCCUAUCCCUACCUCCACGCGGUACCGGUCGAAAACUAUGAGCAACCUUAGGGAAGAUCGGGUAACCAACCCCGGUGGGAACUUUGGUCGUAGGCUGACAGGGAAGG